rnacentral:rRNA from 1 species
CGUAAAGCGCGCGCAGGCGGCUAUUUAAGUUGGAUGUGAAAGCCUACGGCUCAACCGUAGAACUGCAUCCAAAACUAUUUAGCUAGAGUGUGGGAGAGGAAGAUGGAAUUAGUUGUGUAGGGGUAAAAUCCGUAGAGAUAACUAGGAAUACCAAAAGCGAAGGCAAUCUUCUGGAACACUACUGACGCUGAGGCGCGAAAGCGUGGGGAGCAAACAGGAUUAGAUACCCUGGUAGUCCACGCAGUAAACGAUGAAUGUUAGUCGUCGGGGGCCUCGUGUCUUCGGUGAUGCAGCUAACGCAUUAAACAUUCCGCCUGGGGAGUACGGUCGCAAGAUUAAAACUCAAAGGAAUAGACGGGGACCCGCACAAGUGGUGGAGCAUGUGGUUUAAUUCGAAGAUACGCGAAGAACCUUACCUAGCCUUGACAUAUAUUAGAAUCCACCAGAGAUGGAGGAGUGCCUUCGGGAGCUUUUAUACGGGUGCUGCACGGCUGUCGUCAGCUCGUGUCGUGAGAUGUUGGGUUAAGUCCCGCAACGAGCGCAACCCUCGUCACUAGUUACUAACGGUUCGCCGAGGACUCUAGUGAGACUGCCUUCGUAAGGAGGAGGAAGGUGAGGACGACGUCAAGUCAUCAUGGCCCUUACGGCUAGGGCAACACACGUGCUACAAUGGCCAGGACAGUGAGACGCGAUACCGCGAGGUGGAGCAAAUCUAUAAACCUGGUCUCAGUUCGGAUUGUAGUCUGCAACUCGACUACAUGAAGCUGGAAUCACUAGUAAUCGUAGAUCAGCUAUGCUACGGUGAAUACGUUCCCGGGUCUUGUACUCACCGCCCGUCACACCAU